rnacentral:rRNA from 1 species
AAACCAAAGCUGGCGACCGGCGCACGGGUGAGUAACACGUAUCCAACCUGCCUCAUACUCGGGGAUAGCCUUUCGAAAGAAAGAUUAAUAUCCGAUAGCAUAUAUUUCCCGCAUGGGUUUUAUAUUAAAGAAAUUCGGUAUGAGAUGGGGAUGCGUUCAUUAGUUUGUUGGGGGGUAACGGCCCACCAAGACUACGAUGGAUAGGGGUUCUGAGAGGAAGGUCCCCCACAUUGGAACUGAGACACGGUCCAA